GACGAACGCUGGCGGCGUGCCUAAUACAUGCAAGUUGAGCGCUGAAGGUUGGUACUUGUACCCACUGGAUGAGCAGCGAACGGGUGAGUAACGCGUGGGGAAUCUGCCUUUGAGCGGGGGACAACAUUUGGAAACGAAUGCUAAUACCGCAUAAAAACUUUAAACACAAGUUUUAAGUUUGAAAGAUGCAAUUGCAUCACUCAAAGAUGAUCCCGCGUUGUAUUAGCUAGUUGGUGAGGUAAAGGCUCACCAAGGCGAUGAUACAUAGCCGACCUGAGAGGGUGAUCGGCCACAUUGGGACUGAGACACGGCCCAAACUCCUACGGGAGGCAGCAGUAGGGAAGCUUCGGCAAUGGACGAAAGUCUGACCGAGCAACGCCGCGUGAGUGAAGAAGGUUUUCGGAUCGUAAAACUCUGUUGGUAGAGAAGAACGUUGGUGAGAGUGGAAAGCUCAUCAAGUGACGGUAACUACCCAGAAAGGGACGGCUAACUACGUG
rnacentral:rRNA from 1 species